UAUGAACUGGAGUUUUAAAGCCGAGGUGUCUCCAGUUUAAAAUGCAUUUCUAUUCAGAAGAUCAGUUGAAAUUGUUGAUUGGUUACAUCAGCAAGGACAUAAAUGUGUUGUGGUGGCUCUAUUGAAAGCAUUAUACAUAGCAUGGCCAGAACUCUCUGUGAGAGAUAACAGUGAAACCUAACACUGCCACUCAUUAUUUAGUAAAUACUAAAUAUUACAUACUAAAUACUAAAUAAUAAAAAAUUCCUGUGCAACAUUACAUUUAAUAAUGCUAGAAUUAUGAAGUUUCAAAUAUUAGUAAAUUCACUUUACAGAAAGGCUGAGUAGGGUUAAAUAAAUUGCCUAAAGUCAAACAAGGAGCAACCUGCUUUGAGUCUGUGCUUUAAGACAUUAUACAGUAAUAAGUUUUCUUACCAUCAUGAGUAAUACGAGACUGUGGUAAGUGCUUCUAUUUUUGUGCAACAGGAACAUAAAGAAAAAAUGAUUUACUCCAAUUUGAGUGAACUUAGAAAGGCUGCAGACAUCAAGUUGAUUUUACAGUGAACUUAGAAAGACAGAAAAAAGUCUUGCAUGAAGGAAAAAGCAUUUCAGCUGGAGAAAUUGGUCAACAAAGCUGGAAAACCUGUAAAGAGCAUUUCUCCAGAAAGGUGGUCCAGAACGGACUGAACUGCCAUGCCAACCAACAGAGCCUGGGAAGAAAGCAGCUGACUACUUGGAAUUUCAACAAUACACAAAGGCUCAGGAUGUAGCUUGAUGGUAGUGUGCUUGCCUAAUAUGAAAAGCCCCGAAUUCAAUUUCCAAAACCACAAAAAAUAAAAAUAAAAAACUGGAUACAUACAA